UGCUAUGAUCAGAUCCCCGUCAGUGUGCCCGAUCUUGUCAGAUUUCAGAAGCAAAGCUCGGGGUUGAACCUGGUUCGUACUUGGAUGGGUGACUACCUCCAGGGCUUCGCCAGGUACUGUAGGUU
rnacentral:rRNA from 1 species